UCGGGAAUUUUGGGCAAUGGGCGCAAGCCUGAUCCAGCCAUGCCGCGUGAGUGAAGAAGGCCUUCGGGUUGUAAAGCACUUUCAGUAGGGAAGAAAUACUUAAGACUAACACUCUUGAGAGUUGACGUUACCUACAGAAGAAGCACUGGCUAACUCUGUGCCAGCAGCCGCGGUAAUACAGAGAGUGCAAGCGUUAAUCGGAAUUACUGGGCGUAAAGCGCACGUAGGUGGAUACUUUAGUCGAAUGUGAAAGCCCUGGGCUUAACCUGGGAAUUGCAUCCGAUACUGGGUAUCUAGAGUAUGGUAGAGGGAAGUGGAAUUUCCGGUGUAGCGGUGAAAUGCGUAGAUAUCGGAAAGAACACCAGUGGCGAAAGCGGCUUCCUGGACCAAUACUGACACUAAGGUGCGAAAGCGUGGGGAGCAAACAGGAUUAGAUACCCCCGUAGUCCCUGAGCGGGCUGGCAAGGCGCAU
rnacentral:rRNA from 1 species